ensembl:lncRNA zinc finger CCCH domain-containing protein 13-like
GUAAAAGAAGAAGAAAACACGACAUACAUCCACGGUUCACACUCCACCCAGCAGGUGGCGGUCAUUUAAAUCCCGUGUUACUGAGUGGUAAGGUAAAACUAAACAUUUUGGUGGCGCACCGCGCGCCAGUGAAAACUUGGUAAAUGUUAUCUAACAACUUGACAGUUGGUUGUUGUCAGGACUUUUGCAAAUUUCCGAGACUAGUUUCAGCAUUUCCCCCUGGUCAUCCCCUUAAAAAAAAAGUGGAAUCGUCCAACGGAAAAGGCUUUCACAACUAUUCUUCUGCUGGAGUUGCUGUGUGAGGAUGCAGUCAAACAGGUCUGAGUACAGUCACAGGCGGCAGUACAGUGACAGAAGUUCAAGGCAGUGGGAUGACUAUGAGGAUAGAAGGGAAGAAAGGCGUGAACCUCACAGAGAUAUACCGCAGGAUUCUUAUCAGAAAUAUGGUGGGGAUGGACAUAGUAGCACAGAGAGGACAAGUAGAAGUAGAGAGUUCAGUGACUCUCCUAAGAUGCUGUACAGCAAAGACUCAUUGAACAGAGACUGGAGCAGAAAGAGCUCAGCGAGGAGACUCAUGUCCUCACCUGAAUGGGGUACUUCUGAAAAGAAAAGGCGAAUGUUUACAGAGGAUGAUAAAGAUGAUUACAGAUACAGGCGUGAGCCUGAGGAUAAAACAAACAGGCAGUCACCAGACAAUUUUUCACAUGCAACCAAGGAUUUUAAACGUACACUAUCACAGGAAGAGGAUUUAAAAUACAGGAAAACGCCUCAGGACUCCAGAUAUUGGCAUGAGGAGUUCAGCUAUAGGCAACAACAUGAUGACUGCAGACAAUCGUCUGGAUAUUACAAAGAUAGAGAUGGUCAUGAAAGGAGCCGAGACUGUUCACAAGAGAGGACACAGUCACAAGAUCGCUCCACUAAGAGUUAUGCCAAACCCAGAGAGAGGAAUGACAGCCCCUCCACACACGAGGAUUAUCGUCAAAUUAGAAGACUGUUUCCAUUGAAUGGAUCAAGUGGACAGUCUUCUGAGAGUGAUGUCACCAACCAAAGUGCAGCUGUCACUGAGCAGAAGAAGUCAGCCGUGGGCUUCCAGCGCUUCCUCGAUGUGCUCAACAAGGGUGUGAAUGUCGCCACGCUCACCAAGAUAGUGACUCAGACCUCCACAGAAGUGGAUGAUCGACCACGUUCUCCAACUUCUUUCAUGAACACUGAUCGUCCGUGGUCUCCAAGUUAUGCUGGGAGGCAACAGGGAAGCCACCAAAAUCCCAGCCACUGGAGCGAGAGCGAAGGAUCCCAGAGACUGGCUUCUCCACAGCCUCCACAGUCCUUUAGCCCAAAGGGGCACUCUCUGUCUGAUAGCAAGUCUCUGCAAAGGGGUGACGGAGAACAAAGCUACUUUAGCUCAAACAGCAGAUCCAGGUCUCCCUCAGUGGUGGAAAAGAUAACACUGACAACUGAAGAUGAGCACAAGCACAGGCAAAUGCAGGAUGUUUUGCAGGCCAUUGGCAUGAAUUUAGGAUCCGAGGAACUGGGCCAGAUGUCGCAUCGUAUCCAGGAGCGGUUGUAUGGAAAGAAGGAUAGUGACGGUGGCCGCCUUCGUAGAGCAAGUAGGGAAAGGGAGACAAAGCAAGCGUGUUCACCAAGACGGAAAAGUAGAUCAUCAUCGUCAAGCAAAUCUAGUUUUAGCCCUUUAAAUCAGGAAUAUUACAAGAAAAAAGACUGUUAUAGUACUCAGAGGGAUGUAACAGAGGUACACCAAGUACAGGUAGAUGAAGAUGUUGACUAUGGCCAGAAUAGCAGUAGUAGCACUUUACAGGAGAGUGAGAAAUGUGAAAAGUACUCCCAGGAAAGCACUGCUGCAUGUCAAUCAUUUUCUCAAAAUUCUGCAUACACUUUUUCAAAGCCAUCUCCUACACCUGUUAUGCCAAUGUACUCUCCAGUAAACUGUUCACCACUGCCAUAUCCAGCUCUUCCUCCUAACCUUCCCCACCUUGGACCCAGGCUGUUCUGGCCUCCUUUCUUCCCUUACCCCCAUGUCCCACCUUUGAACAUCUUUCCAGCAGUACUCGCUCAAACGAGUCAACUACUCCCACAGCACAUAAGCAAUCCACCUUACUUUAACCUGCCAGGUAUUAACCCAGUUCAGCCUCUGAACACCACACAAAAACCAAAACCACUCCCAAGGACCCGCUAUCUGCAGGUCAUUGAAACCAAACAACCUGGAUGAAGACAGUUGCAUAUGGUAGAAAUCUGACUGACUGAUAUAGUUAUUUUGCCUCCGGAGAAUAGUAAAAGAUCGUUAUAAAAUAAACUGUUGGGUCUUCAUGGACUUCCGUUUUGACCACAAACGCAUUUGAGCAUCACCUCAGAGAAAAUUAACAUUUGCAAUCACUGUCCAGCAGCAACAAAAAACAUCAGACAAGUUAACUGGCAAACAUAUAGGUGGUGUUGGAGCGCUGUCCAUCGCCCAGUCAUUUAUAACCAUAGCACAAUGUCAUGCUAAAGAAAAACACAGUUGGAAGUGUUUGUUUGUUUGUUUCUGAAAAUGUUGUCUUCUUGAUUUUUAUUUUUUAUUCAAUUUAUGUUUAAACACCAGGAUUUGAUGCAAUACAAUUUUUGUUGAAAUUAUUUGUCCACAGGUCUUUUGUAGGAUACAGGUCUGUAUCCUAAUGACAUGGAACUGUAGUUCAGUCUUCAGAGGGUUUUGGCAAACUCACAACUACAUAAUAUGCUCUACUGCUAAGCUUCAAUGUGGUUGAGGUUGACAUGUUUUCUUUUUUGUGUACACGUGCAGAAAAUGAUCCUGUAUUUGAAUAGCAUAAUAUUAAACACAAUGAUUCUAAAUCAAGAGCUGUUUAGUUGCACAGAUUUCUUGACUAUAUUGUAAAGAAGAACACAGAUUACAUAAUUAUCUGCAUAUACAGUAUAGUUUGCAUAAACACCAUUCUUGGAAAAGUGGGCCUGGGAUUGUGUUUUUUUUUUUUGGAAUAGAUCACUUUAAUUUCAGAUCUUUCACACCUCAGAGGUGAAGAUGUCUGCCAACACUUGUACCACUCUUCAGAAGCUAGAAACAGAAUAACCAACAGGGAAAGAUGUGCUCUUAGUAAAUGUAAAAUCUCUUAGUGCGCCAGAGAAAAUGUAUAAAGAACCACUCUUGAUUUUAGGAUUUUAAGAUAAAAAAUAAAUAAUCUGAUCACCGCUUUUGUUUAACAGGCUAUUGCUUAAACAUCUUGGGGGCAGCAUAGGCAGCGUGACUGGCUAUGAGCAGAGCCUGGUUUAACAUCCCAGUGACAUGAAGCAGGGUUAGUCCUCAGAGAGUAGUGCAAGUUCACAAACACUGACUAAACUGUCCAUGUGCAAAUGAGUAGGACAUGUUCAGAUUUUCGUCAAAGGUUGGUGUCAUGUUUAUAUUUCCAUCACUCAUUAGCCGAAUUAUUACUGCGGUGUUGGUACUCCGUGCAGCAGGUGGCGCUGUUUAUAUAAACUUUUCAACACCACCGAAGCAGUGAGCUCAGUCUUAGCCCCUCUUCCUUAGUUCAAGCUAUUUAAUGUCAACAUUAAUGGUUGUCCACGCCUACUGCUGAAACAAUCCAAAGGUCCGUUUUGUCAUCAUCUAAGAACUUAAUUUUCGAAGCAACAGCCUUAAAGUUUCACUUUUCCCGUGAUGCGACAGUUUUAAGCCGCUGUAGCAGGUAAACAGUGUGUUAGCUGUAAAGCUAUCUAAAGCCAGGGUUUAACGUCAGGUUUGCUGUGUGUUCCGUCCUUAAUUUGCUAAAUGACUUGUUACACCAUGUCAAAGUGCCAUCGAGAUUGGGUUAUCAAACGGUAGGCUUUGUCUUUCAAGUCCAUAUGUGAGCCAAGUUAGUCUUUGGUAACGUUACUGAAAAACAUUGUGUCAACAGUCGCGAGGUGGGGGCUUGUGCAAAAGGCAUUUAACAUGUUCUGCAUACAGGUCUGGUCUAAUUCAGUCAUUUCUCC